AACGAACGCUGGCGGCGUGGAUUAGGCAUGCAAGUCGAACGCGAAAGUGGAGCAAUCCAUGAGUAGAGUGGCGAACUGGUGAGUAACAGGUGGGCAAUGUGCCCCAAAGUGGGGGAUAACUCCGAGAAUCGGAGCUAAUACCGCAUAAGGCGUCGAGGACCUCGGUUCAUGACGUUAAAGGAGCAAUUCGCUUUGGGAUCGGCCCGCCCGGAUUAGCUAGUUGGUGAGGAACGGCUCACCAAGGCGACGAUCCGUAGCUGGUCUGAGAGGGACGGUCAGCCACACUGGCACUGCGACACGGGCCAG
rnacentral:rRNA from 1 species